rnacentral:lncRNA from 1 species
AGUCCACUGAAUAUAGAAAAUGAAAGUGCAAGUGGGACAUCUGUGUACUAUGGACACAUUCUUGUUUUUUUAUUUUUUUUACAUUGAGUCUAUGGGAGCAACAUUGUGACUUUAACACUGCUUAAUCAAAAAUGGCGAUUUUAGGGUAGGUAGGGUACAGUAAACACACAUACUUUUGUUUUUGGCCUUGUGUCUAAGUUCAGG